rnacentral:rRNA from 1 species
UACAGAGGGUGCGAGCGUUAAUCGGAAUUACUGGGCGUAAAGAGCACGUAGGCGGUUUGAUAAGCGGAAUGUGAAAGCCCCGGGCUUAACCUGGGAACUGCAUUCCGAACUGUCAGGCUAGAGUAUGAUAGAGGUGAGCGGAAUUUCCUGUGUAGCGGUGAAAUGCGUAGAUAUAGGAAGGAACAUCAGUUGCGAAGGCGGCUCACUGGAUCAAUACUGACGCUGAGGUGCGAAAGCGUGGGUAGCGAAC